UGGAUGGCUGCUGCCAGAAUUCUAGACUUUCAGAGCCUUUCAGGAUGGGGAACUAAUGAGAAGACACUGAUCAACAUUUUAGCGCAUAGAAAUGCCACCCAAAGAAAGCAGAUUCAGUUGGCUUACGAGGAAUUGUACAACGAGAGUCUCACCAAAAAGCUCGAAUCAGAACUGAAAGGAAACUUUGAGUUUACAAAUCUCAAGUACUCCAGAGUUGAAAUUGAUGAAGUGCGGUUCGAGUGGGCUG